ACAUGCCUACAACAUAGCGCUAAUGCAUCAGAUCCCAUUAGAAAUAUGCAAUUAAGUGUGCUCAGGAUAGAGUAGUACUAGGAUGGGUGACUGCUGAGGAAGUUCUAGUGUUUUACAUGUC
rfam:Picea glauca, whole genome shotgun sequence.